rnacentral:rRNA from 1 species
UACAGAGGGUGCGAGCGUUACUCGGAAUUACUGGGCGUAAAGCGCACGUAGUCGGCUUUGCAAGUCGGGUGUGAAAUCCCCGGGCUCAACCUGGGAACUGCAUUCGAGACUGCAUUGCUAGAGUAUGGGAGAGGGAAGCGGAAUUUCUGGUGUAGCAGUGAAAUGCGUAGAUAUCAGAAGGAACAUCAGUGGCGAAGGCGGCUUCCUGGACCAAUACUGACGAUCAGGUGCGAAAGCGUGGGGAGCAAACAGG